ACUCCCAGAAGGCUAAGCGUCUGCACACGCUAGGUCCGCAGGGCGCUGACCCCUGGGGGCCCGAGGAGCGCCGGGCUGCUGCCCCGAGCCCCGCCCACUACAGCCUCAGUGCAUGGCGGUGGGAGCAGCCAGUAACUCAGGGGUGGGAAUUUUUCUUGCUCAGGGGAUGAGGCCGAGCCCACAGGCUUAGAAAGAAGGAACCUGAGUCCGGGCACCUGUCAUCCCAGCGCUUAGGGUGGAUCACCUGAGGUUAGGAGUUCGAGACCAGCCUGGCCAAUAUGGCGAAACCCCCGUCUCUACUAAAAAUACAAAUAUUAGCCGAGCGUGGUGGCACGCACUUCCAGCUACUUGGAAGGCUGAGGCGGGAGAAUGGCUUGAACCUGGGAGGCGAGGGUUGCAGUGAGCUGAGAUCGCACCACUGCACUCCAGCCUGGGUGACAGAGCGAGACUUCGUCUCAAAAAAAAAAGAAGAAAGAAGGAAGCUGAGGUUCAGACAGGCUAAGUCCCUACUGCAGGCUGCGGAAUCUAAAAAGGUCAUGAACUCUGAGAGUUUGAGCUGAGCCUCUAAAAGCUGUAUCAAUAGCACCUUGCACUGUUGAAGCAGGCCAUGAACUCUGAGAAUUUGGGCUGCAUUUUUAAAGCUGUAUCACUGGCAGUUUGUACUCAAAAAGCAGAUAGUGUCUUGCAAUGUCGCCCAGGCUGGAGUGCAGUGGUGCCCCUCCUGUUGUGAAUAAUCAAAGAAGACUUCGUAUAGCCAAGACAAUCCUAAGCAAAAAGAAUAAAGCUGGAGGCAUCACGCUACCCGACUUCAAACUAUACUACAAGGCUACAGUAACCAAAGCAGCAUGGUACUGGUACCAAGACAGAUAUAUAGACCAAUGGAGCAGAACAGAGACCUCACAAAUAACACUACACAUCUACAACCAUCUGAUCUUUGACAAACCUACCAAAAACAAGCAAUGGGGGAAGGAUCUCCUAUUCAGUAAAUGGUACUUGGAAAACUGGCUAGCCAUAUGCAGAAAACUGAAACUGGAUCCCUUCCUUACACCUUGUACAAAAAUUAACUCAAGGUGGAUUAAAGACUUAAUUGUGAAACUGAAAACCAUAAAAACCGUAGAAGAAAACCUAGGCAAUACCAUUCAGGACAUAGGCAUGGACAAAGACUUCAUGACAAAAAUGCCAAAAGCAACGGCAACAAAGGCUAAAAUUGACAAAUGGGAUCUAAUUAAACUAAAGAGCUUCUGCACAGCAAAAGAAACUAUCAUCAGAGUGAACAGGCGACCCACAGAAUGGGAGGAAAUUUUUGCAAGCCAAAGAAACUAUCAUCAGAGUGAACAGGCGACCCACAGAAUGGGAGGAAAUUUUUGCAAUCUACCCAUCUGACAAAGGUCUGAUAUCUAGAAUUUACAAGGAACUUAAGCAAAUUUACAAGAAAAAAAACAACCCCAUCAAAAAUUGGGCAAAGGAUAUGAACAGACACUUCUCAAAAGAAGACAUGUACGCGGCCAACAAACAUAUGAAAAAAAGCUCAAUAUCACUGAUCAUCAGAGAAAUGCAAAUCAAAACCACAAUGAGAUACCAUCUCACGCCAGUCAGAGAGGCUGACUUUUUUGGUUUACUUCCUGUUUUGUAAGAUAUUGAUCAAUAGGAUGCUGUCUGCUACCCAGCUGAUGCCUUAUAUUCUCCCUCUAGUGGAAUAUAAGCUCCUUCGAGGAUGGUAGAAAUAAUGAACCCCUGGUUUCCAUUACUGAUUGUGCCAGAAGAUUGCUACUGUGAAUGAAAAGCUCCGAAGGACAAAAAUAGAUCCAUACCUGAUUUCCUGCUCAUUAUCAUGAAAAAUAUUCAUUUCUCAAUGCUGCUUAUACCAAGGAAAUAGGAAUAAAGUAACAAUGCACACAAAAGAGUUGGAGGUUUGAGUAUAGAAAAGCAGUCAUGCAGUAGUACUGGACACAAAGUGAAUGGAGAAGCUGGUCCUAUUUCCAGGCAGUGCUCAGUGUCCUUAGGGAUGAGUCACCACGAGGUUAGAGUGAGAAUAGGCAGUGGGGCAGGGGCUGUUCCUCCCCAGCCACGUGUACCUGCAGGAGUGAGGAUGAGGAAUGACAUGGAGGGAGUCAUGGCUCAUCAGGGUUGAGGGUUUCCAAGAGAAUCACAUGAAGCAGAGUAUGAAAAGGAGAUUUGAGUUUGUGCAGAAGAAACUGGUUCUAACAAUCGACCAUAGACAGUGACCUGAAGGUGGGAUGAAGAUUAGCAGGAAAUGGGUGAAUCAAUACUAUGUUUUUCCUAAAGAAAAGGAAAAUUGGCAUCAGGUGAGCAGAAGUCACCUGGAAGAUAGGCAGUGAUGUUGCAGAUGGGAGGCUUGAGCUGAGGAGAUGGGCUGACAGCCUCUAUUGGUAACAAGGCUGAUGGCAAUCGAUGGCUAAAGGAGUUUAGAUAGGAAAUUUGGGAGAGAGGAGAUCAAUUUUCAGAUAGUGAAGUGUUGGGAGGGUCAGCUAUGUUAGUGUUCCUCCACAUCAGCACUAUUGAAAAUUUGGGCUUGAAAGUUCUUUGUUUGCAGGGUGGGGAAGCCUGUCCUGUUUUUGUAAGAUAUUGAUCAAUAGGAUGCUGUCUGCUACACAGCUGAUGCCUACAGCCCUCCUCCAGUUGUGACAGCCAAACAUGUUUCCAAAAAUUGGCAGAUGUCUCCUCAUGGCAAAAUCUUCCCUGGUGGAGAACCACAGAUAUUAACGUGUAGGAUAUUCCCCAGGAUUAUAGAGGAAAGUGAUGUUGGUGAGGACAACAGUCCACAUCCACAGAGAAUUGAGAUCACACAGAAAUCGGGGCUUUUCAUGAGGCUAUGUGUCCCAACCUUGCCUGUUAUUUUCUGUAAUUCUGAUGGGCCACAUCUUGGACCUUGCUGACCCUGGAGGGAUGAUCCUGCUGGGUCUUGUCAAUUCCUGGAGAUAGUAAACAGCUCCCUUGAAAGGCAGCCUUUCAUGUGGAAACCAAUCCAGAUCCCACUCCCCAAUCAUCUCCUCUAUGGAGCAUUCACACUGACGGCCACGAAUCACUCAGCUGCCCUAAUCACCCCAGGACCAGGCAUCAGACAGCUCGGGGACAACCCCUAUGCCCAGAGCCACUGAAAUUCUUCAGAGAAGCCAAUCUUGUUUACCUGCUCAUUUACCCCCACUUGUUCUUUCCCUUGGAAACCAUAAUUAAGGCUCUUCACUCACAAGUCCUUCCAUCCCCUUCCUCUUGCCAGAUAUUUGUCCUUCCUGUGUGACUACCUGAUGUGGUGUGCCCCUCCUCUUGGGAAUGUGAGCAAACAGCUAUAUUUGCAGUAACAACUUGUCCCUCAGUCUGUUUUACCGUUGUGUGUGAAACUUGGUAAUUUCUGGUCUUGAUUCAUGCAAUUAUGAGCCUCAUUUUGUGGGAGUCCCUCGAGUACCCUGAUGCAUCUCCCCGUCGUGUGUGUGUGUGUGCGAGCACGCACCUGUGUGUAGUUGAAGGGGAGUUUGGGAGACACGCCAUUCUCAAGCAAAUUGGAGAUGCAGCCCACUUUCCCUGCCUCUUAUCUACAUUAUUAGAAUAUUGCCCAACCCUAAAUGCCCAGUCCCAAAGAUGGAGCAAGACAGGGGCCCUGGACUCCCUCUUCUGGGAGGGGCCAGGGCACUUUUCUUUGGAUGCUCAGACAUGGGAUGGGAGCCGGUGAUAGAGGCGUGGGCUCAGGGCCAGAGAGCUUGGAGACUUCCCUCUCUGAGCCCAGUAUCUUCCGCCAUAAAAUGCAGGCACUUGUAGGUCUCACUCACAACCAGGGCUGUGGGGAUGGCCAUGUGUAUGUUCCUCAGCAUUGAGGCUUCUGUCCAAGAAGCUGAGGGGAGGUGAAAUCCAGCCUGCACUCUUUCCAAGUUGUGCUUAGUUCGAGGAUGAAUAAUCCCACCAGCGCCACUCCCUCAUUGAUCUCUGCAAAGCCCCUUAGCCCACCGUGGCCUUGGGUUCACUCAUGAAAUUUGAGAAACAAAUUAGUUCAAGGAACAAGAGAGCAAAUAAAUAGUGACACAGCCAUUUUCAGGAUCUCAUUUUUUUCCUGUUUCUUCUCACAUGAGGCAAUGGUAAUGCUACUGUAAAGUGCCUUUGCCAUCACUAGGUGGCACUCUUGAAGCAAUAGAAAGUAUACAAACGUUUAACACUUUUUAUCUUUUCAUUUUUAAUUGUGGCAAAAUACACAGAACAUAAACUUUACCGUAUAAUCCAUUUUUUACUAAUAUUAAUUGAAAAACAAAGGCUGGCAAGUUUAAUUUUUUUUUUUUUGAGACCAAGUUUCACUUUGUUGCCCAGGCUGGAGUGCAGUGGCGUGAUCUCGGCUCACUGCAAGCUCCACCUCCCGGGUUCAAGUGAUUCUCCUGCCUCAGCCUCCUGAGUAGCUGAGAUUACAGGCCUGCACUAUCACACCCGGCUAAUUUUUGUAUUUUUAGUAGAGACGGGGUUUUACCAUGUUGACCAGGCUGGUCUCGAACUGUUGACCUCAGGUGAUCACCUGCCUCAGCCUCCCGAGGGCUGAAAUUACAGACGUGAUCCACCGCGCCCAUCCUCUAAUUUUUUUUUUUUUUUUUUGAGACGGAAUCUCGCUCUGUCGCUCAGGCUGGAGUGCAGUGGCACGAUCUCGGCUCACUACAAGCUCCGCCUCCCGGGUUCACCCCAUUCUCCUGCCUCAGCCUCCACAGUAGCUGGGACUACAGGCGCCCAUCAUGCCCGGCUAAUUUUUUGUGUUUUUAGUAGAGACGGGGUUUCACCGUGUUAGUCAGGAUGGUCUCGAUCUCCUGACCUCGUGAUCUGCCCGCCUCCGCCUCCCAAAGUGCUGGGAUUACAGGCAUGAGCUACCACGCCCGACCUAAAAAUUUUUUUAAUUGUAAAAAAUGAUGUAGGCCAGGCACAGUGGCUCACGCUUGUAAUCCCAGCACUUUGGGAGGCUGAGGUAGGAGCAUCUUGUGAGACCAGGAAUUCGAGACCAACCUGGGCAACAAGGCAAAACCCUGUCUCUACAAAAAAUAAAAAUAAAUUAGCUGGGCAUGGUGGUGCAGGCCUGUAAUCCCAGCUACUCAGGAGGCUGAGGUGGGAGGAUGGCCUGAGGUCUGCAGUGAGCUGUGAUCGUGCUGCUGCACUCCAACCUGGGUGACAGAGCAAGAUCUUUUCUUUAAAAAUGGUGUAAAUUAUUACAUAGUGUAACGUUGAUAUUUUCAUCAUCUUUUAAGUGUGCAGUUUGUUGGCUUCCAUUACAUUCGGGUUAUUUGCAAACAUCACUACCUUCCACGCCCAGAACAGUCUUCAUCUUGCAAAACUGGAAUUCUGAGCUGAUUGUACAUGAGCUCUGCAUUUCUCCUCUCUAAGCCCCCAUGAACCACCAUUCUACUUUCUGGGUCUAUGAAUUAGGCUAGUCUGGGGCCUGACCUAAGUGGAAUCAUGCAACAGUGUCCCUCUGGGGCUGACUUAUUCCACUCGGCAUAACGUCCUCAGGGUUCCUCCGUGUUGUAGCAUGUGUCUGGGUUUCCUUUCUUUGUAAGACUCAGUAAUAUUCCAUUAUAUGUGAACACUACAGCUUGUUUACCAAUAUCCACUCAUCCUUUGAUGGACACUUUCGGUUUUCCACCUUUGACUAUUAUGAAUAAUGCAUCGUGUCACAUUUCCAGCACCAAGGCAGAAGUUUCUUACUUUUCCAAAGCCUGCCAGCACUUGUUAUUUUCAGGCUGGGCGUGGUGGCUCAUGCCUGUAAUCCCAGAACUUUGGGAGGCUGAGGUGGGCAGAUAACCUGAGGUCAGGAGUUCGAGAGCAGCCUGGCCAACAUGGUGAAAACAUGUCUCUACUAAAAAUUCAAAAAUUAGCCAGAAAUCUCUUGAACCCUGGAGGUGGAGGUUGCAGUGAGCCAAGAUCAUGCCACUGCACUCCAGCCUGGGCAACAGAGUGAGACUCCGUCUCCAAACAAACAAACAAAAAACCACUUGUUAUUUUCUGUUUUAUGGAUCAUAGCAAUGUUAAUAAAUGUGUGGUGGUUUCUUCUUUCUCUUAAAAAUAAUUUUUCUUUUCAAACAAAAACUAUUUUAUUUAGAAAAGCCAUGUUGAAUCAUGGCCCAGCUUGGAAAGUUAUUUAUUUAUUAAAAUUAAUUAAUUUUUAUUAAAACUUUUUAAAAAUGUAGAUACAGGCUUGUUACAAGGACAUCUUGCCUGAUGUGGAGUUUGGCUUUUAAUGGCCCCGUGGCCCGCAUAGUGAACCUGGAGUGAGACAGGCGGUACCUUCCCUUCUGCUGUUGACAGUGUCUACUGUUCUCAUAUCCUUGUGCCUGUGUACCCAAUGACAGGCGGUACCUUCCCUUCCGGUGUUGACAGUGUCUACUGUUCUCAUAUCCUUGUGCCUGUGUACCCAAUGACAGGUGGUACCUUCCCUUCCGCUGUUGACAGUGUCUACUGUUCUCAUAUCCGUGUGCCUGUGUACCCAAUGACGGGCGGUACCUUCCCUUCCACUGUUGACAGUGUCUACCGUUCUCAUAUCCGUGUGCCUGUGUACCCAAUGUUUAGCUCCCACUUAUAAUGGAGAAUGCAUGGUAAAAAUCAUUCUUUAUUCUUCAAUCAUGGCAAUUCCUUCAUCAUGGGAUGCACGUGCCUGUUGGGGACUGCAAACCUCUUAUCCCUUGGCAUCAGCCUGGACUGCACCACUCUCAUUUCCUUAUCUAUGUUAAUUUUUGGGUGGUGAUUGCUUCUCUUCACAGCAGCCACUGACACCCCCGCAUCACAGAGAUGUGAUGUCAGCAAAGGAAAUGUUGAAACUGUGAACCCCUGGAGCUGGCAGGUUCUGUGGUGUCAGAUUUCGAAUACAGCUGUAUCCGAUGCCUUCAAUGUUAAAGUACCUAGGAUCUCUCUGCAGAGAUCGUCAUAGCGGUGAGGAUAGACCAGCAGGAAUGCAGUCGGUGUUCACUGCAGGGGAGAGAAUGGAGGAGCUGGCCUGAUUGGCAGGCAAUGUUCAGUGUCCUUGGAGAGAGUCACCAUGGAAACAGAGUGGGAACAGGCAGUGGGGGAGGGGCUGUUCCUCCCCAGCCAAAUGCAGCUGCAGAGAAGAAGGAAAGUGAUGUGGGGCCAGUGCAGUGGCUCAGGCCUGUAAUCCCAGCACUUUGGGAGGCUAAGGCGGGUGGAUCACUUGAGGUCAAGAGUUCGAGACCAGCCUGGCCAACAUGGUGAAACCCCGUCUCUACUAAAAGUACAAAAUUAUACAAAAUACAAAAAUACAAAAAAUACAAAAAUUAGCUGGGCAGGGUGAUGCACACCUGUAAUCCCAGCUACUUGGAGGCUGAGGCAGGAGAAUCACUUGAACCUGAGAGGUAGAGGUUGCAGUGAGCCGAGAUAGUGCCAUUGCACUCCAGCUUGGGUAAUUCAAAGUGAAACUCCAUCUAAAAAAAAAAAAAAAAAAAAAAGAGAAAGAAAGAAAAAAAGGAAAGUGAUGUGAAUGUCCUGUAGUUUCUUUCAUGGAUAACCUCUCAUUUGUAUGUUCAGAUGAUCUUAUAAUUUCAUAUCCACUAUUUGAAUAUAUCUUAUAUCAAUGUUGUCCCAAAAGGUAGUUCAAGGACCUUGUGAAAAUCAAGACCAUUUGAAAGAGUUCACAAGUUCUAUAUGUUCUUAAGAACACUGUUUUAUUUGCCUUUUUCCUUCCCAUUUUCUCUUCACGAUGUAAUAUUGUAUGUUUGAAUUAAUUAGCUGAAAUGAGAAUUCGGCUGCUUUGUAUUAAGAAAAGGUUUCUUUUUGUAGAGACAAAGUCUUGCCUUUGUCGCCCAGGCUAGAGUACAGUGGUGCAAUCAUAGCUCACUGAAACUUCAAACUCCUUGGCUCCAGGAAUUCUCCCACCAUAGCUUCCAGAGUAGCUAGGACUACAGGCACAUGCCAUUCAACUGGACUAAUUAAAAAAAAUUUUUUUUUUUUGUAGAGGGGGAGUCUCACUAUGUUGACCACGCUGGUCUUGAACUCCUGGCCUCAAGCAGUCCUUCUGCCUUGGCCUCCCAGCAUGCUUUGAUGACAGGCAUGAACCAUAGCACCUGGUUAUUAAGAAGAGUAUUGGCUGGGAGGAGUGGCUCCUGCCUGUAAUCCCAGCACUUUGGAAGGCCGAGGCGUGCGGAUCACAAGGUCAAGAGAUCAAGACCCUCCUGGCCAACAUGGUGAAACUCCGUCUCUACUAAAAUUACAAAAAUUAGCUGGAUGUGGUCACGCACACCCGUAAUCCCAGCUACUUGGGAGGCUGAGGCAGGAAAAUUGCUUGAACCUGGGAGGUGGAGGUUGCAGUGAGCCAAGAUCACGCCACUGCCCUCCAGCCUGGGUGACAGAGUGAGACUCUGUCUCAAAAAAAAAAAAAAAGUAUUAAAGGGAUUUAUAAAAAAGUGAAAGAGUGCUCCCUUUAUAACUAAUUUUUUGUUUGGAAAAAGUAAUUGUUGAUAAAAUGUGGGUUCUGUUAAUAUGUGAUAGGGUUGUUACUUUUUUAUGUUUUAAAUUUAAAAAUUUCUCAGCUUCAAUUUAUAAUAUGGUAAAUACUCCUAGAUAUAAACCAUGCAAAGAAAAAUUCUUUAGAGAUUCUCAAUUAUCUUGACAAGUAUACGGGCCUUCUGACUUAAAAGUUUGAGAAAUACUAUUUUAGGCUAAAUUUCUAGGUAUAAUUUUGUGGGGUUGAAGAAGACACAUGCUUAAUGUGUCUGAUCCACAAUGCCCUAUACUUUCAGAGUAAGCGAAAGAAAGUAUAGAGCUGUUUUCUGGCUCUGAAAGUAUAGAGCUGUUUUCUGGCUCUAAAUUCUCAUGGGAGUGUGAUUUAUAUGUGUCAGGCUUAUUGAUUUGCCAAGCCGCCUACCAUUAUAAACCCAGUGGGGAGAUUUCUCCAGGAAGUAUGCUGUGACUCCCAUUACCCAGGCUUUCAGAGAUCUCUCUUAUAUAAGUUUAGAAUUCCCAGAAGAGAAGGUAGAAUGUAUAUUCUCAAGUUUAUAAAUCCCAGGCCAACAUUCAUUACUGGGUGAUCAUGGGCCAGACACCUGCCUCUUUUGAGCCUCACUGCCUUUGCCCGUAAAUGAGGAUUGGGGGUGUAUAAGGAUUUGGCACAAUGCCCAAUACAUUGUACAAAUUCAAUAAAUAAUAGUGGUACAUUUUGCAUUUCUACCAUAAAUAAGAAAUACAGUAGUAAUUUAAUGAUGUGAGCAUAUGAUGGUUAGAAAGAAUAGAGAGGCAUUUUCUUUGUGAAAGUUUCUCCAAUGACUGUAUCCACAAUGGUUAAAGCUCUUCUCUCCCCAAUACUGUUAUGAUAGGUGUGCCACUUCUCCUGUUCCUUGUCUCUCUUGGUGAUAUAACUGUUUACCCAUUUCCUUCACCGGGCCAUGAACUCUUAGUGUUCGGGUCGUGUCUCUAAAACCUGUAUCAAUAGCACUUUGAACUUAGAAAGCAGGUAAAUAGUUUCCUGGCUUAGCUCUUGAUUUAAGAAUCAGGACAGAGGCCAGGCACGAUGGCUCACGGCUGUAAUAUCGGCACUUUGGGAGGCCGAGGCAGGCGGAUCACGAGGUCAAGAGAUGGAGGCUAGCCUGGCCAACAUGGUGAAACCCCGUCUCUACUAAAAAUACCAAAUACCGGGCAUGGUGACGCACACCUGCAAUCCCAGCUACUCGGGAGGCUGAGGCAGGAGAAUCGCUUGAACCCGGGAGGCGGAGGUUGCAGUGAGCCAAGAUCGUGCUACUGCACUCCAGCCUUGAUGACAGAGUGAGACUCCAUCUCAAAAAAAAAAAAAAAAAAAAGAAAGAAAAAAAAGAAAAAGAAAAAAGAAAAGAAAGAAUCAGAACAGUACCAUCAAUGACUAAAAGCUAUCCUUGGGGCUGAAGGACAAUGAGACUAUGGACUCAUUGAUAAGGGAAGUAGUUGAUGCUAACCAACUUAUUCAAAGGUGACCUCAAAGUAUAUUUGUGGGAUAAAUUGAAAAUUUAUUAUUUUACAAAUAAGAAGACAGGGCCCCAAUUGGGUCUUCUUCUGCCUACAGCUCCACAUAAAGACUGGUUAUGUGUUUAUUUCAUUAUUCAACAGUCACCAGCACAUGCCAUGUGUUAGGCACAGUGCUAGGGACAGAGGGAACAGUAGUGCAUAUAUGAUACCAGCAUUCAAAUUCUUCACAGUCUAUGGGUUCACUGAAGGUCCUACGUAACCAUUCCAAUGUUUGUAUUCUUGUUUCUCUAAUAAUCUAGAGCAAUACCCAUACAUGAAAUAUGUUGACUGGUGAAUAAGUAGGCUUUCUGGAGAACCUGAAAAAAAAAAUCAAACUAUAGUCCGGCGUGGUGGCUUAUGCCUGUAAUCCCAGCACUUUGAGAGGUCAGGAGUUCAAGACCAACCUGGCCAACACAGUGAAACCCCAUCUCUAAUAAAAAUACAAAAAUAAAAUAAAAUACACCAGGCAUAGUGGCACAGGCUUGUGGUCCAAGCUACUCAGGAGGCUGAGGUAGGAGGAUCUCUUGAAUCCAGGGGGUGGAGGUCACGGUAAGCGAAGAUGACACCACUGCACUCCAGCCUGGGUGAUAGGGUGAGACUCCAUCUUAAAAAAAAAAAAAAUCAAACUGUAUUGAAGGAUGGGUAAGAAGAAAGAGGAAAGGGGAAAAUGAAGGAGAAAGGGGGAAAAUGAAAGAGAAAGAGAGAAAAUAGGUAGUUUGCGAUAUGGAAACAUGAAGAGAAAGCAGAGAGGGAAGAGAGAGCAUUCAGACCAAAGGAGAUUCUAAGGGAGAAAUAGAGGCAAAAUGUUUAGCUCCAGCCACAUGGUUAUAUCUUAUACCCUGGAAUUAAUCAGCCUCAGGACCUUUUCAUGUGCAGCUCUUUCCAUCACCCUAGGUCUUAAUGUUGCCUUUCUCUGACUCCAGUUAAGGUUCUGAUAAAAGUUAACCAUCCAAGAAAGCCCCCCCUAUAUUUCUAUUUCCUUAAUAGAAAGCAGCCAAAUUCUCAUUUCAGCUAAUUAAUUCAAACAUACAAUAUUACAUCUAUUUCCUUCUUUCUUUCUUUCCUUCCUUCCUUCCUUCCUUUCUUUCUCUCUCUCUCUUUCUUUCUUUCUCUUUUUUUUUCGGAGUCUUGCUCUGUCACCAGGCUGGAGUGCAGUGGUGCAAUCUCAGCUCACUGCAACCUCCACCUCCUGGGUUCAAGUGAUUCUCCUGCCUCAGCCUCCUGAGUAGCUGGGAUUACAGGCGCACACCACCACGCCCGGCUAACUUUUUUUUGUAUUUUAGUAGAGACAGGGUUUCACCAUGUUGGCCAGGCUGGUCUCGAACUCCUGACCUUGUGAUCCACCCGCCUCAGCCUCCCAAAGUGCUGGGAUUGCAGACGUGAGCCACCACGCCCGGCUGCAGAUGCUUCUUUUAUUUGCUUGCUGUUCACUGCUUUCGAUCCACUGGAAUGUAAACUCCAUGGAUAAUGGUUGAAAAUGAACCUAGCGUUGUGAGUUUCUGCUAGUUUCAGGUUUAUUACUGGGAAUAGAAUAAGUCCAAUGAGCAACAGUAGUAACUAUAUCUCAUUUUCUUUGAGACAUCAUGAAAAUAUUCACUCUGUGAUGCUACUUAUAUUUGGGAAAUAUAAAUCAAGUGAAAAUGGGGAUGACAGGCUUGGAAGUUUAAGGAUAGAAAAGCUGGCAUGCAGCAAGCAUUCAUGGGAGGGGGAUUGAAUGGAGAAAGUGGUCUGGUGUUCAGGAAGCCCUCGGCCUUCUUGGCAGCGAGUCUCCAUGAAAGCAGAGUGAGAACAGGCGGUGGCCGAGGGUCUGUUACUCCUCAGCCAUGUCCAGCUGCAUGAGUGAAGGACAGAGCAGGCAGAUUCAUAGUCCAGCAAGCAUUUAUUUUUCUAAGAGACUAACAAAAAGUAGAAUACGAAAAAUUGCUUCAUAUGUGUGCAUAAAAAUUUUGUUUUAACCAGAGAUCAUAGAAGGUGACCUUGAGGUGAAAGUUAAGAUCAAUGAAAAAUGGGCAAGUCAAUGGAGCAUUGGUCCCCAAUGAAUGAAGUGAUGUUGGCAUCUUGUGAGAAGUUACCUGAAAUGUAGGAAGUAAUGUUGGAGAUGGGGUGCUUUAGGUAAAUGGAUGGGAGCGGUUUGGGUUAUUGGUAAUGAGAAGCCUAAUGGGAAUGGAUUGCUAAGAGGCAUUGGACAGAAGCACUGAAGAAGAGGAAGUCAAUAUAUUGAUAGUCAAGAGGUUGGGAGAACCAUCCAUGUUAGGUAUUAUCUACCUUAGCAACGUAGAAAAUUUGAGCUGGAUAAUUCUUUAUGUCAGGGGGCUUCUGUUCUGACAUUAUAGGAUGAGGAACAGCAUCCCUGACUACUAUCCACCAAAAAGCUCACUCAUCAUAAUCAAUUGGGUUAUUCCAGGGAUGCAAGGAUGUUUCAUCAUAUGUAAGUCAAUAAAUGUGAUACAUCAUAUCAAUAGAAUGAAGGACAAAAAUCAUAUAAUAAUUUCAACAGACGCAAAAAAAGCGUUUCACAAAAUUUAAUAUCCUUUCAGAGUAAAAAUUCUCAGCAAACUAGGUGUGGAAAGAAUGUACUCAAUAUAAUAAAGACCAUAUAUGGCAAACCCACAGCUAAUGUCAUGCUUAAUGAGAAAAUGUUGAAAGCCUUUUCUCUAAGAUCUGGGACAAGAACAAGUAUGCCUAUUCCCACCACUUCUAUUGAGUAUAGUACUGCACAUUCUAUCCAGAGUAAUUAGGCAAGAGAAAGAAAUGAAGGCAUCCAAGUUGGAAAGAAAGAAGUUAAAUUGUACUUGUUUAGAGUGACUUGACCUUACAUAUAGAAAAUCUUAAAGGUUCCAUUAAAAAGUGUUAUAACUAAUAAACAAAUUCAGUAAAGUUGUAAGAUACAAAAUCAACAUGUAAAAAGUAGUAGCAUCUCGAUACACUAAUGGCAAAAUAUCUGAAAAGGAAAUUAAGAAAGCAGUUUCAUUUACAAUAAGCUUCAAUGAAAUAAAAUUCUUAGGAAUGAAUUAAACCUAGAUGGUGAAAGAUCACUACACUGAAAACUAUACAACCCUGAGGAAAGAAAUUGAAGAAGAUACAAGUAAAUGGAAAAAUAUCUUGUGUUUAUAGAUCAGGAUAAUGAAUAUAGUGUUAAAAUGUCCAUACUACGCAAAGUGGUUCAAUGCAACCUCUCUAAAAUCACAAAUGGCAUUCUUCAUAGAAAUAGAAAACAAUCCUGAAAUUCAUAUGAAACCAUAAAAGACCCAGAGUAGCCAAAGCAAUCUUAAGCAAAAAGAAUAAAGCUGGAGGUCUUACACUACCUGACUUCAAAAUAUACCACAAAGCUAUAGGAACUAAAACAGGGUGAUUCUGUCAUAAAAACACACACAUAGACCACUGUAACAGAAUAAAAAUCCCAGAAAUAAAUCCACACAUUCACAGCCAACUGUUUUUUACUUUUGACAAAGAUACCAAGAACACAUAAUAAGGAAAGGACAAUCUCUUCAACAUAUUGUGUUGGGAAAACUGGAUAUCUAUAUGCAAAGGAAUGAAGUUAGACCCUUAUCUCACCUUACAUACAAACAUCAACUCGAAAUGAAUUAAAGACAUAGAGGGAAGCCUCAAAACUAUAAAACUAAUAGAUGAAUACAUAAGGGAAUAUCCCCAUGAAAUAUAAAGGAAAAGUCAUUCGCCUGGGCAAUGACUUUUUGGAUAUAACCUCAAAAGUACUGGCAAGAAAAGCAAAAAUAGCCAAAUGGGAUUGCAUCAAACUAAAAUGAUUCUGCACAGCAAAGAAAACAAUCAACAGAGUGAAGAGACACUGCACAAUGAGAGAAAAUAUUUGCAAACUAUAUAUAUCUGAUGAGGGGCCAACUCACACUCACACUCCUCAUCCACGCUGAUUUCAGGUGGUGAUCUCUUCUCUUCACAGCAACCACUGCCAAUCCAGUAUCACAAAGGUAGGAUGUUAGCAAAAGUAAUGUAGAGAGAGCUAAUGUUGAGUCUGUGAACUGCUGGAGCUGGUAGUUCAUGGUGUGUCAGAUGUGGAAAAUCGCUGUUCUUCCCUUAAGUUUAAAGCAUGGGGAUACCCCAGCAGACAGUUGCAGCUGUGAGGACAGAAAAGCAGGAAGGCAGUAGGUUUUCACUGCAGUGGGAGAGAAUGAAGGAGCGGGUCCUGUUUCCAGGCAGCUGUCAGCAUCCUUGGAGAUGAGUUGCCAUGAGAUUAGAGGGAAAACAGGCAGUGGGAGAGGAGCUUUUUCUCCCCAGCCACGUGCAGCCACAGGAGUGAGGGGCAGAGCAGAAAAGGGUCAGAGUCCAGCAGGGAUGGGAUAUUCCACAAGAAUUGCAUGAAGAAUAUAAAAAAGAGAUUUGCGUGUGUGCAGAAGGAAUUGAUUCUGAGGAUUAGCCAUGGAAGAUGGCCGGGUGUAAAGGUGAAUCUCAGUGUAAAAUGGUAGAAUUCCUGGAGCGCUGGUCACCAAGGAACGGGGGGACAUUGGUGUCAGGUGGGGAAGGGGUCGCCUGGAAGUCAGGGAGCUGAUGUAGGAGAUGGGAUGCUGAUCUGAUGGGAUAAAGUGAUUUUGGUUAUUGGUAAUGAGAAGUUCAAUGGGAGUGGAAGGCUGAGGGAGGAUUGGAGAAGAGGUCAAUAUGUGGAUCGUCAAGAGGGUUUGGAGGAUCAUUAUAAUGGGUUUUUCCACCUUGGUGGUGUGGAAUAUUUGGAUUGGAUAACGUGUCGUGUGGGGACAGGGACUUCCUGUGCAUUGGAGGAUGUUGAACUGUAUUCCUGGCUUCACAGGACCCUUUCAGAGGUGAAAAUUAAAAAUUUCUCUAGAUAUUGACAAGUGUCCCCAGUGGGCAAAAUCACCCUGGCUCAGAACUACUGAUCUAAGUGGGUUAUAAUAAUCAACCACAGUGUGGAUCGAAGUAUUUUGGGGUCAUCACUCCACAUCCACAGAGAACUCAGAAUAACAGGAAGUGGGGAGUUCCCUGAGGAUGUGGGCACCAAACCAUCUUUAACUUCCUGUAUUCUGAUGCUUUGACAUCUGGGACUGGCUGACCCUGGAGACAUUUCCCCUCUUAGCUGUCUUCAACUGCUGGAGAUAGUCACAACUUUCCUGCAAGUGUGCCUUUCAUGGGUAAACCAACCAGUCCUAGCUUACACUCCCAGCCACACCUUAUGGAGCUCUGAGCCACAAUCCACGUGCACAGUCACCCAGGGUCAGGUAUCAGAAACAACGAAGGACGUCCCAUAACCCACAGCUACUAAAAUGACCUAAAUGAGCCUGUCAUCAGCCUGCUUAUCUCGCAUGACCUGUUUCUUCCAAAGGGAACUUCAGUGGCUUUGUCCACAUUUCCUCCUGCAUCUCUCUGGGUUUUUGCUGACCAGGUGAUUCCCCGUGUAGCUCCCCUGGCUGUGCUGUGCCCUCGACUUGUGAUUAUGAGCAACAAACUUUCCUUUUAAUGGCAGGUAUCUCCUGAUCUGUUUAACUCCUGUGUGUGAAACUUUGUGAUUCAUGCAAUGAGAACCAGGCUUUACGUGAACAGACCAGAGCCCAGGUGCAGGGCGGGCAUUCCAGAGCCCAGGUGCAGCAGGUGCAGGGCGGUCAUUCCAGAGCCCAGGUGCAGCAGGUGCAGGGCGGGCAUUCCAGAGCCCAGGUGCAGCAGGUGCAGGGCGGGCAUUCCAGAGCCCAGGUGCAGCAGGUGCAGGGCGGGCAUUCCAGAGCCCAGGUGCAGCAGGUGCAGGGCGGUCAUUCUGCCCACACAGGUAUGUGUUGGGGGAGGGCAAGUUGAAACAGAGCCUGAGAGAUGAAUUCAUUAACGAACAAAUUGGAGCCCCAAGCCACAUUUCCUCCUUUACAGCCACCUUGGUAGGACCCUACCCAAGCCCCAAAUGCCAAGCCAGAGUGCAGAGCAAGACAGCAGCCCUCAAAUCCCCACUCUGGGAGGUGCCAGGACACCCCUCCUUGGAUGCUCAGAGACAGGAUGGGAGCAGGUGACGGAGGCGUGGGUUCAGGGCCAGGCAGCCUGGAGACCUCCCCUCCCUGCGCCCAGUGCCCUCCUCUGUAAAAUGCAGACACUCCUAAGACCUCACGCACAGCCAGGGCCGCUGGGGAUGGCCGUGCGUAUUCUACCCCGCUCUUAGGCUCCUGUCUGAGGAGAUGAGAGGAUGUGAAAUGCAGCCUGCACUCUCUCCACAGCUGUGUCCAUGCCAGGGCUCAAGAUCCCACACCUCAGCCUAGCAUUGCUCUGUCCAAGGGCAGACAGCCUGGUACAGCCAUGUGUGCGGUUAUUUUCACUUCAAAAAAAACCUUAUUAAACAAAAACCAAAUAUAUGUAAACACACCAGUUUUUUAAGUAUCUUAUUUUUUUUUUCUAAUUUGAGGCAAUGCCUAUUGUUGUCAAGUAUCUUUGCUGUCAUUAGAUGGAACUCUUGAAGAAUGGAAAAGUAAAUAGGUAUUCUUUCUUAAUAUUUAGUUGUAGCAAGAUACACAUAAUACAAAAUUUGCGGCCACACACGGUGGCUCAUGCCUGUAAUCCCAGCACUUUGGGAGGCCGAGGUGGGAGGAUCACCUGAAGUCAGGAGUUCAAGAGCAGCCUGGCCAACAUGGUGAAACUUCAUCUCUACCGAAAAUAGAAAAAAAUUAGCCAGGCUAAUUUGAUUCAUGUCUGGCUCCCCCGCUCAACUGACAGCAGGCCCCAGGACAGCCAGUGGCUGUGUCAUCAUGAUCUGCUUUGCCCUCACCGUCCUCUCUUACAUCCGCAUCUUGGCCACAGUGGUUCAGAUCCGUUCAGCAGCCAGCCGCCGGCAAGCCUUCUCCACCUGUUCUUCCCACCUGGGCAUGGUGCUCCUGUUCUAUGGCACCGGCAGCUCCACCUACAUGCGACCCACCACCCGCUACUCCCCGCUGGAAGGGCGCUUGGCUGCUGUCUUCUACUCCAUCCUCAUACCCACCCUGAAUCCACUCAUCUACAGCCUGAGGAACCAGGACAUGAAGAGAGCCCUGUGGAAGCUCUAUCUCCAGGUGCCAUACUAGGGUCUGCCAUCUGGAUGCGGGAGGGACCCAAAAAUCCACCUUCCCAAGAUUUUCCUUGUGGUCGUGGUGGAAGUGUUAGUGCCUCCAGAGACCCCCAGGAACACACCUAUUCGCCAAAGUUGUCAACAAAGUUGAAUUGCAAUGAAUCAUGCAGGAGAACCCUGAUGGAUAUCUGGAUAAAAUGGAGACAAAUCCAAUGUGCAUUUAAUUUAGGCAAAUAGUAUUAAAUAUACACAGGGGAGGAGAGAAAGAGGAGGAGCAAAUAAUUUAAAUAGGGUGGGUGAUUCCACCCAAGAGCUCACUCAAUAAAUUUAUGACCUGGACUACGAAUCCAAUAGGAGACUGUCUCAGCCUGCCUCGGUUUCCAUGCACUUCCCCAUGUGGACAUGUUUUAUCCUGCUCAAUGUGGUUCUAAUGUUUAGUGGUACACAUUUUUUCAUCUAGUGUUUGUCCUAAAUGCAAGCCAAAGCCUUCAUCACAAGCAGCAGCAUCUAUUCCAGAAGAAAAAUAGGCCAUAUUGGACGUGCAGAGAAAUGGUUGGUAGUCUUCACGCGGCUGCUUCCUAAGGGAAAGUCAAGGGUACCUUUAUCUUUCUGCAAUGUUUCUCUGAUAGCAAACCCUGUAUUUGUUGUAUUUCUGGUUCAGCUGCUUUAACAGAAACAAAAUAACAGCAACUUAAGUCAUACAGAA